CGGGUCGAAGCUCAAGUGGUGGAGCACGGCAAAAGCGUUGCCUAGGUGCCGGUUCGACUCCGGCCGGCCCGACCA
rnacentral:tRNA from 1 species